CGUCAGCUUCAUAUGACACCAUUCAUUGUGUAAAUGAUUAAGAUUGCAAUUGUUUAAUAUGUCAGCUUCAUAUGACACCAUUCUUUUUAUAAAUGAUUAAGAUUGUACUCAGUCAGAACUAUAAUAUAAUAAGAAAGAAAUUGUGAGCAUUAUGGACAUCAUACUGCUCAUUUGACCUUAUGCAUAAUGAUGUCACAAGGCUUGAUGCCUGCGAGGAAUGCUGGUCUUAAGCUAUGGGCAAACUAGGAAACGUUGCAGAAACAUUUGUGAUUCUCGAUGUUUCCUCAGACGUUUCCCUGUUCACCCACCCUGUUCGUCCACGCCUGUUCGUCCGCAACAACAUUUCCUAGUUUGCCCAGGACUUUAGUAGUAAUCGCCCAGGAAAAUUAAACAAUCCAAAAUGGCCACUAUCGAAAUUUUCCUGGCCAUCAAGCCUUAAGACGUCAUUAUGCAUAAGGUCUAUUGAUUUGAUAUAAAGACAUUAAGUAAAGCCUUGCCCUCGCAUAAAAGAACCAGUAGGUUAAGAACCACUAGCCUGAAAUUUGGGCAAUUGAGCACCCAAAAUACAAUGUGUUGAAUAUAAAA